GACGAACGCUGGCGGCGUGCUUAACACAUGCAAGUCGAACGGAAAGGCCCUGCUUUUGUGGGGUGCUCGAGUGGCGAACGGGUGAGUAACACGUGAGUAACCUGCCCUUGACUUUGGGAUAACUUCAGGAAACUGGGGCUAAUACCGGAUAGGAGCUCCUGCUGCAUGGUGGGGGUUGGAAAGUUUCGGCGGUUGGGGAUGGACUCGCGGCUAUCAGCUUGUUGGUGGGGUAGUGGCUUACCAAGGCUUUGACGGGUAGCCGGCCUGAGAGGGUGACCGGCCACAUUGGGACUGAGAGACGGCCCAGACUCCUACGGGAGGCAGCAGUGGGGAAUAUUGCACAAUGGGCGGAAGCCUGAUGCAGCAACGCCGCGUUCGGGAUGACGGCCUUCGGGUUGUAAACCGCUUUCGCCUGUGACGAAGCGUGAGUGACGGUAAUGGGUAAAGAAGCACCGGCUAACUACGUG
rnacentral:rRNA from 1 species